AACGUAGGUGGCGAGCGUUAUCCGGAUUCACUGGGCGUAAAGGGCACGCAGGUGGUCUUGUAGGUAGGGCAUGAAACCUCCCGGCUUAACUGGGAGACGCUGUCCUAAACCACAAGACUUGAGGCUGAGAGAGGGAAGUGGAAUUGCCGGUGUAGUGGUGAAAUGCGUAGAGAUCGGCAGGAACACCAGUGGCGAAGGCGGCUUCCUGGCUCAGACCUGACACUCAUGUGCGAAAGCUAGGGGAGCGAACGGG
rnacentral:rRNA from 1 species